UGACACGUGGUAGAGGGAGAAGAGGAGGCUGAGAGUAACUAUGCGGCGGC
rnacentral:sRNA from 1 species